UGGAGUGUGGCUCAGUGGUAGAGAACUUGCCUAGCAUGUGUGAGGCCCUGGGUUUGAUUUUCAGCACUGCAU
rnacentral:tRNA from 1 species